rnacentral:rRNA from 1 species
AGCGCAGGCGGAUAGGUCAGUUCAAAGUGGAAUCCCAGGGCUCAACCCUGGACGUGCUUUGGAUACUGCCUAUCUUGAGUUCGUGAGAGGAAAGUGGAAUUCAGGGUGUAGCGGUGAAAUGCUUAGAUAUCCUGAGGAACACCAGUGGCGAAAGCGACUUUCUGGCACGAAACUGACGCUGAGGCUCGAAAGCAUGGGUAGCGAACG